GGUGAGUCUUCCAAACCUUUCCCCGUUCGUUCAGCACUUUAAAAUGGGUCUUUUUCUUUUCUUUUCUUUUUUUGAAACAAAAAUUGCACUGUUUUCAGAAACUGGCCUGCAAUAAAAUUGAAAAUGCAGCUGUUAAUCAACCCCCAGUCCCCGCAGAAACCUAAGAAGGAAUUCGGAGUGAUCUGUCAUCUCCACACGUUACCUGGGCAGACUAAGCUUUGACCCGAGGAAUGUACGUGCAGCCAUAUUGAUACAAUAAGUCAGGUUGGGAUCCAGACUUCAGCGUUGAGGGGUGGUGCUAAGGUAGACAGCAGAGCCUCUCCAGCCGGAUUGUGCAGCUGAAUUCAGCUUCAUUCAUCUUAUUUUAAUGGCCCCAUUCAUUUUGCGCAGGAAAGCGUUUCUAUUUGGUUUUCUCAUCAUGGCCGGGUGUGAUGUGCAAGCAUAGAAGGUUCGGAAGCCAAACAGACUGAAAGAGAGUCCUUGUGGAUAGCUGGGGAAGAAACUCCCUGACAUGCCUGACGGUCGCGUUCCUGGAUGUCUCCUAAGAAAGCCCCUCUCGCAGCAGUAGAGUGGCCAGGUCCCUCAAUGGGUCUGGUGCCUCAAGUGGAGGCCGUCAGAGAGUCCUUUUUCUCUACGUCCAGAACAGGAGGACCGCAUUUGUGCCGAGUGCACAGAGAGCCCUGAGAGACAGCAUCGUGUGGAGUCACACCAUCCCAGGGGUCUGGGAAAACCAUCACCUGCAGAAGCUGGGCCAGGUCUCCCCAGACUGUUGGGAACAAAGACGACUCCAUCCCGAGCCAGCAAGUCUUGCAUCUCGGGCAACGGGGCCAGGCUCAAGCUGAGAAAGCUCAUCAGAGGCUCACACACUGCGGCUGCCUUCGUCAGAUCUCUGGGGGUGAGAGUUUCUGCCAGUGCCAGCGGGUCAGACUGCCCUGUGAACAAUGACAGUUACAUCGUGAACCGUGCUUCUCCCUUCCAGCUCUCCCCGUCAUACACUGUGUCUCCCUCUGUCCAGCCACUUAAGCCGAACCACGGUCUCUUUUUGUGGGACCUGGUGCCUUCUAAAAUGAGCCACAGUCAUUGGCUCUCCUGUCUUUCCCGCUACUCAGAUGGGAAAGAUUUUAAGCUUGGCUCCCAGAGUUUUCCUUUUUUUAUUUUUUCCUUUGGAAACUUUUGUCAUUGAAUUAGGGAAAAGAUUGAGCGAGGCAAGAGGUGAUGGAAAGCAACUUUAUGCAAAGAGGGAAAACUAGAAGGUGAAGGUGAGGAGGAUCCCUCUGAGAGUGAACAUUGAGAGGUGCAUGCUCUUAUCGCCUUCACGGGGUGACCUUUGGCACUGUCAUUAAGUGAAAGGGAAAUGGCAGACUCAGCAUUUUUGUCCAUCCUGUCAGGACUUUCCCAACCCCGACACAUUUCCAUUAUCAGCCUUCCGGGCUGUCAGAAACUCCCUAGAAUAGCUACACAUCAGGAUGCUUUCCUUCUCUCUUAAAUGUAAUGUCCAAAAUGCUGGAGGCAGAUGGUGGGAGUCUUUUCACUGGAAUGCAAAUGCAUCACUUAGGAGGGAGAAGAUACCAGGACCAGAUCUCCCCGGAGAACAGCACUGGUGCAUCAGAUUGCAACUGGUUUACUGAGUUCCAAGAGGAAGGGAUGAAGGAGAGGUCAUCUCUGAGGGAGGAUUGAGGUUCAUUUUCUAAUACGGUCCUUUGAUGUCUUGCCACUUAGCAAAGAUGGAAGAGAAUAAGGGUCAUAUUUAGUAGAUGGAGAAAAGGGAGACAGUAGAAUGUACCUGAGGAGCUGAAUACACAAAAUCUUGGUGAACUGGUGUCUUAUUGGUCGGUUAGAUAUAUGAAUAGGAAAUGCCUUAAAUACUUCAGCAUUUGUAGUAUUUAAUAUGAAGAAUAUGGAUUUAAUUUGAAGAUAUGAAAAUAGAGAAUAAAAAAAGCCAAUAUAUUUUGCUACAUUGAUUGUACUUUGCUGUUGUUGUUUUGUUUUGUUUUUUUUCAAGACAGGGUUUCUCUGUGUAACUGUAGG